rnacentral:tRNA from 2 species
CUUGAUGCUUUGGAUAGCAUUAGACCUUGAACGUCUACNAAAGAUGUUCGAAUCA